rnacentral:rRNA from 1 species
AAUCAACGCUGGCGGCGUGCCUCAGACAUGCAAGUCGAACGCGAAAGUUUCCUUCGGGGAGCGAGUAGAGUGGCGCACAGGUGAGUAACACGUAGGUAAUCUACCUUCGGAUGGGGAAUAAACAAUCGGAAACGGUUGCUAAUACCGCAUAAUGCAGCGGCACCUAAUGGUGACAGUUGUUAAAGCGGGGGAUCGUAAGACCUCGCGUCUGAAGAGGAGCCUGCGGCGGAUAGCUUGUUGGUAAGGUAAUGGCUUACCAAGGCGACGAUCCGUAACCGGCCUGAGAGGGCGGUCGGUCACACUGACACUGACAUACGGGUCAGACUCCGUACGGGAGGCAGCAGUCGGGAAUUUU